ACACACAUAAACCUAAUUAUAUAAUGGAGAGAACUUCUUCCAUGUGACAAGCCGCCAAUGUUGAAAGCGUGCGAGUGAGGAGCCAUCACCUCCAUAGCACCACCUGGUCCACCUCCACAUGCAUCUCCCUCUUUCCAUCGUUUCUCUCCUCCUCCAACCCAUCUUGCUCCACUUUGUCUUGGUGUCUCGUGGGAAAGUGUGGAUCCGCCGCUGUUUAUCACUAACCACGACGAGUCAUCACCACGGGAGUAUCAGCCCCUGCCAUCACAUGCCUCGUUCUGUGCCAUCCCGUCCAUGGCGUUGAGGCUUCAUAUAUGGUUUGUAUGUGGAGAACGUGAGCCGAGAGGGAAAGGAGACAUACGAGCCGGAGACACCGUAUCUUGACACCAGCGGGACUGAUGAUCUUCACCACCACUAGCCGUAAACCAUCAGAGUUGUCGCUCAUACCGCUGUAGUACGAGAGAUACACCGUUCCAGGUCCAUGUCGUAAAGGUUAAGUGUUCCUCAUGUGUGUCUUGGGCAGUAAGUUUCUAAAC
rnacentral:lncRNA from 1 species